UUAAAGGGCACAUAGCAAGUUGUAAACAAG
rnacentral:piRNA from 1 species